AUUGAACGCUGGCGGCAGGCCUAACACAUGCAAGUCGAGCGGCAGAAGGGUGAUUGCUCCUGGUUUCAGCGGCGGACGGGCGGGCGGUGCCUGGGAAUCUGCCAGGUAGCGGGUGAUUAGGUGAGGACGCGGGCGCUCAUACCGCAAACGUGCAGACGGCGUACGUGGGGGAUCAUCGGAUCUUCCGCUCUUACAUGAGCCGAUGUCGGAUUAGCUAGUUGGUGGGGUAAAGGCCUACCAAGGCGACGAUCCGUAGCUGGUCUGAGAGGAUGAUCAGCCACACUGGAACUGAGACACGGUCCAGACUCCUACGGGAGGCAGCAGUGGGGAAUAUUGGACAAUGGGCGAAAGCCUGAUCCAGCCAUGCCGCGUGUGUGAAGAAGGUCUUCGGAUUGUAAAGCACUUUUGGUGGGGAAGAAGAGCAGUAGGUUAAUACCUUGCUGUUUUGACGGUACCAACAGAAUAAGCACCGGCUAACUUCGUG
rnacentral:rRNA from 1 species